rnacentral:tRNA from 1 species
ACACUGGUGGUUCAAUAGUAGAAUUCUCACCUUCCAUGUUGGAGACCCAGGUUCGAUUCCCAGCCAAUGUA